rnacentral:lncRNA from 1 species
CAAAAUAGAUAGCAAGGUUAUCAUUUAUUAAAUUAAUUAUGAUAAAGUAAAAGGUCCUAAAAUUACAAAAAGAAAAUAAAUGAUUGUUUGUUACAUUCCCCAAAUAGGGGAAACCCAAGACUUUACAUAGUAAUAAUCUAAUAGAAAUACAGAUUGUAUAAAGUACUCUAGGGGGUGGGGUGGAAGAAUCUAGAUAAAGGUGGUAUCAUCACCAAGGCUUGAGGUGUUGGACUCCUUACUCCUUCAUUCCACUAAGAAAAGAGAACUCCUCCACAUCUUCUUUCUUCAACUUUGGGAGCUUCUCAUUACUGCACACUUAAACAUGACCUCCCCGGUCUUCUAUAUCCUAGCUAGCAUAAGAUCUUGAGAGUUAUAUCUUUUUCUCCAUAUCUAGCUUUAUUCGGACCUUUACAUAGGCCCAAGUCAAGGAUGGUAGAGACGUGAAGAUCAAAGGAGCCAAACUUUGGAGAGGCAAGUGGGCUUACUCCAAGUAGCUCUGUACUGUAGCCAGGUUUGCCUUUAAGUGCCCAAGAGAUGCAGCGGUCCACAUGGUAGGGUUAUUGGUCUCCUUACCUUUUUGGCUCUGCUUCUCUCACCUUCUACCCCUGUAUUUCUCUUUUUCUUGCUCUUUUCCUUUGAACCCUUCAUCUUUAGUGGGUUAAAGGACACAUCACACUCCUUCAAAGAGUCACCAUCCUCCUUUGGCAUAUCUACCCUCUUACAUAUCUUGGUGAUUAGAAAGGCAAGAGGUAAUAUUUUUAAGUCCCUUCCCUUAUGUAGAAAUGUUGCCACUUAUUGAUUAUCUGCAUCCCCAUAUUCAACACUAUCAUCGAUAGAGCAUAGGUCAAUAAUAUAACUAGUGAAAGGUCACUUUCAUGACAUUUCCUAAAGGAUAAAUCCUUUGGGAUGCCAAUUUUAAUCAUCUUUGACCCUCUAUUAUGAAAUGGGUACUUUUGGUUCCUUUGACACUUGUCCAUUUUACCUUGUUCUCCUGUCCUACCGACACCAAGGUCCUUUCUAGCUGUUUCAAGUUAGCCUUAUCCAUCUUUGCCUCAAAAGCUAUAGUAGGGGGGUUUGUCACCCUAAGGUAUCAUUGAUGGUGGAAGCAUUCAUUAAAAUAUUCCUCCCUCAGGUUCAGAUGAUAUGCUGGGGCGAGGACCAGUCUACUAUUGGGAGUAUGACAUAGAACUACUUGACUAUCUCUAGAUUGUACGAACGAUGGUCUCCAUAAACAACACCUAUUCAAAUGACCUCAACUGGUUGUAAAGUUUGGCAUUUCUUCAGUCAAGUCUUUUAUCAUGAAUUCUCUCUCAUGGAUGAAGCCCCUAUUACUUAACCCCUUCUUAUAACAACCACGUUAAUUAGUGUUUAAAACUCAUCAGUGUGUGGGUUGGUUGGCGAUGUUAGCAAUCCUUCACAAAAUACAUCAUAGAAAUUAGAAACCAACUUGGGAUUCUACAAAAAGGUAAGGAAUCAAAAAAUAGGAUAGAUAAAUUUCUAAGAGGCUACUACCUCACUGUUGCUGCAGUAAUGCCUUCUUCCCCAACUAAUUCUAAACCCUCCAUGAUAGAUAUUUAAAUUGUUUUUGUUAAAUUUCAAGUUUUAGGCAUAGAUCAAGCUUGAUAGAGUACUUUUGAACUCUUUUUCACUAAAUUGGGAGUGAUUAACAACCAAUACAAGCCCCAAUUGACUGAAAAUCCUUAAAGAGGAUGCCUCUUCAUCUUCAAUCCUAGUCAAGCCCCCAAAACCCCAUGAACAUUGUGAAUCUUACUUCUAGAAUGUUGUGGAGCAUUAAAAAUGUAUGAUAUUCUAGCAUGCUUCAUAAAUUCAUUCAAAAAAGAAACUAAAUUCAAACUUCAAGUUGCACUAAAAGACAAUUCGAAAAUCAACCUCUUCCCCUAAUUUCUACAAUUAUACGAUGUUAAACUCAUAAAUAAAGUAGUAAAAACAAAGUUUUACGUUAGUAGCAUCGCUGGAAAGAAUAUUACUUGAGGGAAUUAAGAGUGUUUUUUUAGAGAAUUUGAGAGUUGGGAAGUGGGGGAAAUGAAACCCACUUACCUAUAGUUGAAACUGUUGAGACACGCAAGGGCUACAAAUGUACUACUACAGUGAAAGGCUUCAUAAAAUAUUAUUUCAUCUUGAUUUUUUAUGCGUUACAAUAUUUUAUGAUGUUAUGGGUAUUUUAAAUGACCGGUUGUAUAAAAUUUUAUUAUGAAUCAUAUUUUUUGGGUCAUAGUGAUUGACUCGUGUUAGAAGCUUAGAGACUCAAAUGCAUAGACUGGAUGGGUAAUGGAGGUUUGGGAAAGUGUUAUCAAGUAACUAAUAGGGAUAAUAGAUCAUAAUUUCUAACCAUCAUGUAUGUUGGAAUUCCAGAGUCAUGCUAAAAACUUCCUUUCCUCCUUUCGUAACUAUCUACGGUUGAACAAUUGGUAAAUCGAUAUCUAAUGUAAUGAAUCAAAUAACCGUUAUAUUAAAUAUUCAUUCCAAAAAAACUUCGAUUAAGAAAUCUUUAUUUCAAACUUUAUAGAAAUUAAUUUCAUUAGAAAAAUCCAUGGCCCAAAUUAAAUUUGGGCCAAAUUUACAAAAUUUGGCCAGGCCCAUUGACCAGAGGUAUUUCUAUUUCUAUAACGAUGGCGAGGCAAUAAGUUUCCAUAGGGUUAAUCAAAAACCCUCUCCUAGCAAAUGUCUCUUAUUUUUUUUCCUCUCUGAAAAACACCCUAAGUGAACCAUAUACGUGGAACUGUAGGAUUUUAAAGGCCAAGUUCUAACAGGGUGAUUUCCAAAUCAAGUGGUAUUUACAGUGUUGUUAAGGUACAAGGCAUACAAAGGAUUACCCUUUACUCUUUGUAGCAACAAAACUAAUCUACAAGGUAGUUAUGGUUGAAUUGUAGUAGACUUUGGCUAAAUGCAUAUCGUAACGAUAGUUAUAUUGGAAGAUUUCAUGUUCAGGCCUUUUAGGCACGAACUUUAAAUGAUUUUGAUAACAAACUAAACUUAGAAUAAUGAAUUUAUGAUUCAAUAUGUUGUAAUUAUUUUGCCCCUUUUCGAUUCGAAAGAUUUUGAAAGCAUUAUUUUCGACCUUUUAAACUAUUUCAAAAAUUUAAAGAAAAUUUUAAAAUAAUUUAGGAAAUUACAGAGUCGCCACUUGAUUUUUGAGAAAAUAUGAAGAAAAACUAAAACUAUUACUUAAAAGAUUCAAAAUAGAAAAAAUCUUUCAAGUUUAGAAAUUCCGAGUAAGUGGUUCCUAUAAAUACUCUUGGAAGGUUGUUAAGGCACCAAGAGUAUCCGCUAACUUAUGAUUAUCCAGACUAUUUGAAAAUAACUUUUUUGACUAACUUUAGAAAGUGAAAUUGAUUUUUUAAAGAGAAAACAAUUAAGGAAAAAUUGUCUUCAAGAUUUGUGCAAAACAAAUUUUGACGACUUAGCGGGAAUUUUUAACUAAGUCUAAGAAAACAAAGAACAAUUAGAAUAUUACGGGGAAAGGGGGAGACUAAAUGACUUAAUACAUUAGGCCCAAACUCAUAAAUCCUAUCCUAAGCUAAUUUGGACUUUUGACCCAUCUUCACCUGUCCUAAGCUAGUUUUCGAACCUUUGAGGCCCAAAAUCCGCUUCACCUGUAUUAAAUUACAUCUUUGGCUUCGAGGCCCAAAUGAAUGAAUAAAUAAAUGAAUAAAUAUAAAUAAGGCAAUAGUAAAAAUUGAGACUUUUAAAGUCUUUUAGUAACCUCAUCAAUGGGUUUUGACCCAUUUUCCUUCUUUCAUCUUCUUGCAGCCGCAUGCCAUAUAAUCGACUUUGAAUUUAAACUUUAGACCUAACUCGGAGAGGUGAGCCUCGUUAGCCCAUUACAAAAUGCAAGAGGAAAGGAGUUCAUUUGGACUCCAAAACAGAUCCAUGCAAAGAAAUAUUAAACUAGAUAAACGAUGAGAUGAAUGAGAUAACAUUCCCAAGUAUAAAGAAAUAUUAAACUAUGAUAUCAAAGCAAACCAAAUUAUGUUAUGAAAAAGAAAUUGACCCGUGUCUCAAAUAAUCUUAUAGAAAUUGAAGCCAACACAAUAUAAUCAACUAGCCCUUGAAAAGAAAGACAUGGAUCCACGAGCAUAAUUGCUUAAAAUUUAGACAAAUAUCUCUUAUAGAUUAACACAUAUUUACAACAAAUAUUAUGAUAUAGCCUAAGGCAUGUUUUCAUUAAAAAAAAAAAUAGGAGAAUGAGCAAGAGAUGAGGAAAUCUUUCAUAGCACCUCAAAUAUGAAAUACAAGACGUACUAAUGCAACAACACUUUUUCAAUACAAAAUGGAGUCAAUCAACAUAUUUAUAACUUAGAAGAAAAAUUCAGUAUAGCAUGUGUAUAACAAUGAGACGUCUAAAUGAAUAAAAAUACUUUAAGACAUAAACCAAUAAGUGAAGUGAAGCAAAUAACAUAUAUUAAGCAUAUUUGAGAAAUGAUAUUCGAAGACAAGAUAGGAAAAAUAGCACAAAAUUAAUUCUAAGAAAAAGUGUCUAAUUAUGCCAACUCCUAUUUUAGUUCUAUACCAUUUCAACAAAAUCUAUAAUCCUAACAACUUUUCAAUCUAAACAAGAGAAAAUCAAAGACAGUUUUGACCACAAAAAUGAGAAACUCACUACUUCAAAUUGAGAAACAAUUUCACAGACCCUUAACAAUAGCAACCAUUCCUUUUCGACAUAAAGGAAACAACUUCACACACUAAAAGCAAAAUAUCCACCCAUAACGAAUUUAAACAAAGAAUUAGCAUGCAUUUUAUGCAAAGAUCAAAACUUUAUCCAUAAUAACCAGAGAAUAAAGCCAAAAGGUGAAACAAUCAAUAUUAACUAUUCUUUUCAACAUAAAGAAAACAACUUUACAUGCUAAAAACAAACAUAUCCAACAAUAAUUAAUUUAAACAAAACAUGAGUACACAUUUUAAACAAAGAUUAAAACUUUAUUCAUAACAAUCAAAGAAUAAAGCCAAAAGGCGAAACAAUCAAAAUUAAUUAUUCUUUUCAACAUAAAGGAAACAACUUUACAUGCAAAAAAUAAACAUAUCCAUCAACAAUGAAUUUAAACCAAGCAAGAGUACAUAUUUUAAACAAAUAUUAAAACUUUAUCCAUAACAAUCAAAGAAUAAAGCCAAAAGGCAAAACAAUCAAUAUUAACUAUUCUUUUCAACAUAAAGAAAACAACUUAACAUUUUAAAAAUAAACAGAUCCGCGAACAAUGAAUUUUAACAAAGCAUGAGUACAUAUUUUAAACAAAGAUCAAAACUUUAUCCAUAACAAUUAAAGAAUAAAGUCAAAAGGCGAAACAAUCAAUAUUAACUAUUGUUAGCUCAUCUUAUCCCACAAAUAUGAAAAUAACCAUAAUAUUGAUAUCACAACUUCCUACAGGCUUCAAGGCCGUCUACAGCAAACAGUCCCAGCAAAUAAAAUUAUACGAAACUACAAAGAAGGAGAUGAAGAAGAAAACUAUAACAGAACUAAAAGAAAAAUGUGUGUUUACCUUUUUUGGAGCAGAAAAUGGGAAUUAAAGAUUUUUUCGGUGUCUUGAUCAUCAUCGGAGAACAAUCUUUCUAGAGCCUCGAUUAGACUACUGCUUGAAAUAUUUUUACUAAAAGAAAAAUUUAGCUUUUUGCUCAAAAGUUUUUCCACUCUUUGAGACUUGGUCUUUUUACCAAAAUAGUGGUAGUAUUUAUAAGAAAGGAUGGGGAUUCAAUUCUUUUCAUCCACCAAUGUGGUAGAAAGAAUUUAGGAGUAUUUUGGGAAUUUAAAUUUGAGGAAAAGGUUAGUUGGAGGAUAAGGUGAGGUAGAAUUAUACAAUCUAGUACAAAUUCAAAAUUCAAAAUUUGAAUUUCAAAAAUAAAAAUAGAAUAAGGUUGAAGGGGAAUUGUACAAUCUAGUAUAAAUUUUGAUUUUUAAAAUGGAAAAAAGGACAAGGUUAAGGGAAAAUUGUACAAUCAAGUACAAAUUUUGAAUUUCAAAAAUGAGAAAAGACAAGGUUGAGGUGGAAUUGUACCAUCUACUACAAAUUUUGAAUUUCAAAAAUUUGAAUUUUUAGUGUUUUUGAAUUUUUGGUUUGGGUUGAUUGGUUGCAGGUUGGACGCGGAUUCGGGUCAUGAGUGUCAGUCGAAUUUCGGGUUUUGCUGGGGAUUGGGUCGCUGGGUAGAAUUUAGGAUUUGGGGUUAUUUUAAAAAUAACCCCAAUCAAUUUAGGAUUUAGUCAAUUCCUUAAAUAUUUGGCCAAAUUAAAAAUCAAUAGGCCAAUUGCAUCAUAAUUAUGGUCAAUUUAAUUUCAAUUAUGUCCAAAUUUAAUAGAUCAGCUAAAUUAAAUUGAAAUUCGAUACGAAUUAAUACCUCAUUUAAUCAUGAGCUUCUUGAUUUAGUAAAAUCAAACAAAUAUUUUCCAAAUAAAUUAAUUUGAGAACAAAUUAUAUUUAAAUCAAGACUAUAUUCCGUUUGGAGUAAUUUUCAAGUUAAUCUUAGUAAAAGUUCAAUUUUGAUAAAUAUAGUCAUUUAAGUAACAAAAUUUAUACAGUCUCGUAUAAUUGUCACUUAAAAUACAAAAUUAACCCAACUAAAUAUUUUAGAGCGCAUUUAUUCGAAUGAAAUAAAUAUUUUAAUUUUAUGAAAAAUUGAAGAAAUCCAGGAUUAAAUUUAGUCGUGGAGGAUAAAAAUUGGGUGUCAACAACUGCCCCCUCCCUUUGGGUAAGGUGGAUGAAAGUAACCUGGGCAAAGGAAGUUUGACAUUCCUAACUUUUGUUCUACCACAAAUUUAUUUUUGAAAGAGAUUGAUUUUUGCACGAGUUUCAUGGAGUUAUAGCUUGAACCCGGUGCCAAGUUUCUUACAUAUCUCAGGCUACAUGAGAAUUCAGGCCACUUGUAGUUCAUAACGCUUAAUUUAAAGUACGAUUUUCAAAGAAUUCAUAAGCUAUUUCAGUUUAUAAAUUUUGGUGAAACCAAAAAGCUAGGAAUAAGAGGAUUGUGUGGGGGGGGGAGGUUGAAAUAUAGUCAAGUUUUCAACAUAGAGCCCAACCUAUUUAUCCUCGAGACUCAGGGAAUCAGAUUGCUUGUAGUUGGACUCAAUCGACAUAAAAGAUACUUUUAUUUUAGACGAUCUUUGGCUCGGGAUGAGUGACAAGUCAUUUGAGUUAUGAAAAAAGGCUUGUAACCUCCUAACCAUGAAUAUGGAGCUCUUCACAUCCAUAGGUAAAAAUCUACCCCGACAUAAUUUCCAAAACUUUAAGUACGUUGUCACUCGAAUUUCAAGGAAAGAGAAGGUUUCCCUCGGUAUGAGUUUAGAAAUAUUUCAAAGGUGAAGCUGAAACCAGAAUAUCCCAAAGUACCCACAUGCCUUCUAAUAGGGGUGUGGUUUGAAUAUGGUGGCAAUCAUCCCUUAGCUCACGUCCAAAGACUUUGAUGUCCAUCUCUAAACUACGUCCUGUUUUGCUGCUAAGAAAUUUUUUUACGCUGCAUCCUUUUUGUAGUCGUCCUUACCUAUGGUUUUGAUUUGAGAAUUUUAUCCUUUUGGAUGCUCUUGACAACAACUCAAACAAAUAAUUAGUUGUAAACAUCGCAUUACAUAAAUGUAAAUUAGCACAACCUGUUUGAACAUGCUAUGCUGAGAUAGUUGAUAAACCAGUUUGCAGAACAUAUUAUAAAAAAUACUAUGCCAAUUUGAAUGGGGUGAAAACCCAACAUGUACCAUUAAAAGGCAAAUGAUUUACCUUGAAUAUAACAUGCCACUUUGAACGGAGUGACGGUCCAACGUGUCUCAUUAAAGACAAAUGAUCCAUUUUGAAUGUAACAUGCCACUUUGAAUUGAGUGAUGGUCCAACGUGUCUCACUGAAGGGCAGACGACCCAAUUUAAAUGUAACACACCACUUUGAACAGUGUGACGGUCCAACGUGUCUCAUUAAAAGGUGGACGACCCAAUUUAAAUGUAACAUGCCACUUUGAAUGGAGUGAUGGUCCAACUGUCUCAUUGAAGGGCGGACGACCCAAUUUAAAUGUAACAUGGCACUUUGAACGGAGUGACGGUCCAACAUGUCUCAUUAAAGGGCGGAUGACCUAAUUUAAAUAUAAUGUGCCACUUUGAAUGGAGUGAUGGUUCAAUGUGUCUCAUCGAAGGACAGACGAUCCAAUUUAAAUGUAACGUGCCACUUUGAAUGGAGUGACGAUCCAACGUGUCUAUUAAUCACCUGUACUAAACUUAUUACUAUCAAAUGCAACAUAAGGGCAAUCGUGCAUACCAUUUUUUUGUAUGCCACACUGAAAGGAGGUGAAAAUUCAUAAUGUAGUAUUAUACUAUGUUGAAGGAGAUGCCAAUCCAUAUAAUAACAUGUCACUAUAAAUAAAGUGACAGUCUAAUAACAUAAUAACAUGUCACUCCGAAGGAGGUGACGAUCCAUAACAUAAUAAUAUGUCACUCUGAAGGAGGUGACGUUUCAUAACAUAAUAAUAUAUCACUCUAAAGGAUGUGACGUUCCAUAAUAAUAUGUCACUCAGAAAGAGAUGACGGUCCAUAACAAUAUAUCACUCUGAAGGAGGUGACAGUCCAUAACAUAAUAACACAUCACGCUAAAGAAGGUGGACAAUCCAUAACAUGAUAACAUGUCACACUGAAGAGGUAACGGUCCAUAACUUAAUAAGAUGUCAUGCUGAAAGAGGUGAUGACCCAUAACAUAAUGAUAUGUCAUACUGUUGUCUUAAAUAAAGAGAUGAUCUGAUGUACCUUCUUAAAGGGUGGAAAAUCCAAAUGUAAUAAGAUGCGUCCUUUUUAAAGGGGUGUGUCCCAAAUAUAAAUAGAUGUGUCACCUCAAAUAAAGUGACAAUUGGGAAUGUCCUCUUGAAAUGGUGGAUGACCCAAAAUAUGAUAAGUUAGGGUGACAAUCCGUUGCAUUCUCUUGAAAAGGUAGAUAACCCAAAUAUAAUAAGAUACAUUACCUCGAAUGGGGUGAAAAUCCGAUGUGGUCUUACAUAACGUCACCUGUAUAACUCAAACAACACUUAUUAAUAACAUAACAAUUUGUUAUAACUAAGCCAGGAAUGUAACAGAAAAUAGAGUUUACAAAUAAAGUCGUUUGACUCAUGAUGAUUUAGAGAUAGUAUUUUGAAUAAUAUCUCCAUAUCUCAACCGUUGUACAAGAUUAUUUUCCUAUAAAUUAGAGAAAUAUUUAAAGAUCGUAACAAAGUAUAGAAACAUAAAAUCAAGAGAAAAAAGGAGAAGAGAAGUUGUAUAGAUUAUUAUGGCAAGGCUAUAGUGGAUCUGGUAAUGCCCUUUAUUAAGCUUAACAUUGUCAAUGUUGUGACUUCAUUGUUCCUGCAUCCAAAAAAAUUCUUAAUUUUGAGAGGCUGACUAUUUUAGUUUUUCCUUGCUUUCCUGAUGCUCCUUGUUGAUCAUCGAUUCGCAGAGUUGAAGUGCAGUCUUUAAGGAAUUUUGGAGGAUCUCCCUCAAAAAUUCUGCCCCACUUUAGAAACUCUCAAACUUCUUAAUAACUUAUGACAUCAUUUAGUAUAGAAUUUUUGAGAUCUUCUCAAAAAUUUUGCCCAAGUCUAGAAUGCAAAAUACUUGAGUCCUUUUUGGAGUAGCAUAACCUGAAAUAUUACAACUUCUCAAAUUACGCACCGAUUCAGCUUCAGCAAUGCCUGAUGUUUAACUUUGUAGUAAAUUUCAAGUUCUUGUGAAAUUUUUUAAGACCUUCUCAAAAAUUUCUGCCCCAGUUACAUGCUUCUGUGUCAUCUCCAUGUAACUUAAAAAAAUCCUCUUAAAUAAAAUCUUAUGGAUAAUAUGAUCGAGCUAGUGUGGUGAUUACAUAUUCCAUUGAGGUAGGAAUCAUACCAAACAUAAUUCCACCAUAAGAUGGAAAAAUAAAUUUUCUAAGGGAUUGACCGAAGCCGACAUAGGCCGCCUACGUAGAGUCUUAUUGAUAGUGGAGGGAGAAGUUGGUCGCACAGGAUAGUUAUGGUGUGUUGAGGGAAAUAGAGAGAUAUAGUGUAUGAAACUGGAGUUAAUCUCUCAUAUUAGGGUGGAUAUCGAUGUAAUAGCGAGGAGUGAAGGGAGGAAAAAUAGAUUUAUUUCAUUCAUAAUUAGAGGUGUCAGUCGGGAUAAGUGUAGCCUUGAAUACUUAAGUAUGUAGGAGUGGUCGGAGAGUGGUGUGGACUUGAUUUGACUUUCUGCUUAUAUAUAUAAGUUGAUUAUUAUGAUUAUCCUUCGGGCACUUCCUGAGACUAUUAAUUAUCAUCAUUUAUUGAGCAUUGGAUCUAAGAAUAUAUAUAUUAAGAUAAUGUCGGAAUCGAGUGUGUCACACUAAUACUAUUAUAUGGAUCAUGUGUCAUACUGACAUUGUUGUUUGAUCAACUACCACACUGAUAUUAGUACAUUAACUAAGCUCAUUCCCUAAAAGGCAUAAUUAAGGGUCCCUACUGAUCCUAAUAUGUGGGUAUACCUAGCAUGCAUGUAUUUAUCAUUAUAUUUGAACAUGCAUUAUUGUGAUUAUUGUGAAUUAACUAGAUUGAGCGUAAGCAAUGGAAAAUAUAUCUGGAUGCAAGGUAUGUAUUGUCCUUGUGUGUGGACCUUGUUUUCUAUAUGCAUGAUAUAUUCAUAUAUAUAUAUAUAUAUGAGCCAUUCGGUGAUACUGUCCACUUUGUGUUUUACUCGAGAGAGCAAGGAUAGUUUCCUUGUUAGUUGAUACUUAGGUAGGGAUUAGAGGGUCAUAGUCGUAUUGAAUGUAGGGGUGUCAGUACUGAUAAAGAAAGAGAAAGGACAGAGUUGAAAACAUAGCUAAAGGACUUGGUAGGGUAAAGUUGUUUGGGAAAAUUAUGUGUUGUCAUGAUUCCUCCCUAAUUUCUAUUGUUAUUAUUUGUUUCUAACCUUGGUCGAUCGAAUACCUACUAAUACGUGUGGUUAUACUGAUACCAUACUUACUAUAUCUCCAUUUGUAGAUAUCACCAUGUUGCAGGCCAGUUGGAGUUUCUAUAGGUACAAUGAUGAUUACUCUUCAAUAGUUCAUGUCAUCCUACUCUUACAUGAAUUUCAUAUCUCGGCUCAUUAUUCUAUUUAAUAAAUACAUCUCGAACAAGAGUUCUAUUUAUUUAUGAAAUCAUUCUUAUUUUGAAACAGUUUAACCUAUCUUCUGCAUUAAUUGAAUGGUUAGGUGGUAAAAGUUCUCCUAUCUAGGUAAUGUUGGGCAGGUACCCACAUGAUCCACAAAUUGGAUCCUGAAAAUUCCAUUCUGAAAGUUUUUCUAAACUCUAUAACCUUUUAGCUAACACAACAUUAAUUUAAAUCAAUGCAACACCAUCUUAUCAAAUUCCAAAUUUACAUAAACUAGACCACACUUGAAUUUCAUCCAACACUAGUCUCGCCUGAAAUUUUAAACACUUCAUCUGACGUGAAAGAUAACAUAAAUUUUUUCAUAAUAAGCUAUAACAUAAUAACAAAAAGGAUCAUUACAUAUGUAUUAGGUAUUUGCAUUUUGUUUUCAUUGCAAUAUAAAAAUGCAAGUGCAAUUGCAAACUAUAAUGAUUCUUUGAUAUAUAUUAUAAUGAUUUGAUUUGUGAAAUCUUGCUUUUUAAGUAUUUUGACCAUUUUUAUAUUCCUUAUAGUUGAUACAUGUUGAUUUUGGAAUGUGGGGAAGGUGUGCAUGAUCCCCAAUGCAAUCGAAAUGAUUUUUAUGAGUGUGUGGUUUUUAGAGGCUUUAAACCAUAUAGUUGACUUUGAGAAAAAAUUGUUAUUCUGAGUGUUGAAUGAUGAUUUGAACAGUUUCAUUAGAUCCAUAAUGUUGAAUAUGGGAUAGUGUCAUGGUUGGUUCAGGUUCGAAACCUUUAUUUUACAUUACACUCUUUAUUUAGAAAAUAGUGGGGUCCCAAGGAUUAAUUUAUUAGAAACAUUUUGUUUUCAAAAAUUCGAUAUUGCCAUGGAGUCUAAAAUAUCAAAAAUAGUCCGGUAGCAUAUAUGAUUUAUUUUUGUCAUGUUCCAAAUGAAGCUUGAGGGUCCAUUCGGAGCAUGCAAAUCAGCUGAUGCACAGCUGAUAUCUGGUGCAACAAACCUUCUUCGCGAAUGUGGGCAUUUGUCUACAAACACAGAGAAGUAAAUGAUCCUUAGUCACGAAUGCAACGUGGUUUGUCAUGUUCGUGAAAGGUAAGCAGGUCCAGAUCGAGUAUUUUUCCUUCUCACGAAUCUCACAAGGCUAUCGCAAAUGCGAAGGACUGCCUCAUCAUUCCUUGCAAAUGUAAAGCCAUGAAUACAAAGUCCAAAAAUUUGGCAGAUCAAAGUUAACCCUUGCAAACACGAAGGGUUGACCAUGUUUUCAAGGCAUUGUUUAAAGAACACUAUGUUAGCCUUAUUUUCGUGAUUUUACUCCAUUUUUGAACCUCUAAGGUUUGAGAAAGGCAUUUUUGAUAGUUUCUUCAUUGUAUUUUGUGAGGGUAACCUCCUAAAUUAUAUUUUAAUUAUUUUCAAUUUAUUACAUCUUUGAAAACACAUUUUAAUCAUAAUUUUAAUAUGAGAUUUUGAGGUUUAUACCGGUAAAGCUUAAAAUACUUUUUCUUUGAUUUGUACUUUUUUUAACCCAUUCUUUUAUGGGUUUUCAACUAUAGACUCCUAUAAUAUUGGAAAACAUAUUUCUAAAAUAAAAUUUCAGUUUUAACCCUUUUAUUUUUUGAACUCAUUUUUCAAACCCGUUUUGGAUCCGACUCAAAUAUGGGCAAUAUGAGAAUAUUUAGCUCUGUUUUAAUGAGUAAAUGAAAUAUUUGAAUAUUGUCGUAGAUUCUAAGGCCGUCCAUAAUGGAAAAUAUCCAUGUUGAGGCACUUUAGGCUUGGAUUUCAUCAUUUUAAAGUAGGUUAUGACUUAAAUUCUUUUAGAUUGAGCUACGUAGUUGAUAAAUAAGUAAAACAUGCUAUGGGUUAGGGUAUUUAGUAUGCAAUUAUUAUUAUUAUUAUUGUCUUCUUAUGUGGGGAGUUUUAAUACGUUGUUGUUGACUUGUAAUAUAUGAUAUUGUGUAUUACCUAUGUGGAAGCUUUAUUUGACAUCAUUGGCCUUAUCUGUGCAUAAAAAAUGUCUUUAGUGUAGAUAUAAUGCUUGUACGGGGUCUUGAAUAGUUACUUUAGUCUUUCUAAGCAUUGAUUACCUUAUCAUGAUAAAAAUGCCUAAAUGAUUACAUGCAUAUUUAUUUCAAUGGUGCCCAAUUAGAGUUGAUAACCAUGGAUUAUGGAUAUAUGGAGUUGAUUUCUGGUCUCACUUAUAUAUGUGUUGGAUGGAUCGUAUAUCUUCAUAUUGAGUUAAUGUUGAGCAUUAAACAUCCCCAUUUCAUACAUAUAUAUUCAUGAGAUACGGUACCAUUAAGGAAUACUAUUUUUGAAAGAAAAUAAGACUUUUCUUAUAAAAACCCUCUCCGUGAAGUUGAGCCAAAGAGAUGGGUUAAGAUUUAAGAUAUGAGAUAUAGUAUAUAGGUUGUAAACCCCCCAUAGGUCCUAUCUUGGGAGUUGUGAUAUAGGUAGGUAUAUAUCAAAGCGUCAUGUGAUGGCUUUUAUCAUUUAUCCCAUUCUCAUUGCAUUGCAUGUGCAUCUUACAUGACGUUUCUUAGUUACUCUUGACUUGUGUUUAGUUUUAGUAUAUUUGUAGUGUAUAUAUGUACUAUUUUUAUUUUUUACAUAUAUUAGAACUUUUAGUGAAGAUGGUAUGAGCUACCGUUUAAACUUUUCUGCUUGCAGGUAACAUGCUCAUAGUUUUCUUCACUUAUAUUAUUUUCUGCUUUGGUUAGUUUUCCUAUGAUACCUACUGAGUACAAGUGAUUUGUACUCAUCUUUAUUGUGCCCUUUUAGUGUAGAUCCUAGUUUGAGCACCAUGUGUGGUUGUUCAUUUGCACGGAGAUUCAGAAUUUUGAGGUACUAAUUAGCUCUAGAGUUUUGGCUGAUUCGAACCUCAUAUAUCCUUACUCUUUUUUAUUUAUAAUUCAGAGACAGAUUUAUAUUUUUAGUUUAUUGAUAUAUGUACUAGAUGCUCUUGUACUGUGUUGUUAGGUUUUAGUACAGAUGGCAUUUCUUUUAGACAUUUGUUAUUAUUGUACUUGUAUUAAUCUGAAUUUAUUCUAGAAGUCUCGAAUUGGUUUAUAUUAUUAUUGAUUUUGGUUUAUCCUUCAUCGGAUUGGGUAUUUGCUUACUUAUCAAGGCCGAGUUGCGAUUAGUGCCAUCAUGAUUAUUUUUGGGUCUUGAUAAAUUAUUAUCAGAGUAGCCUUUUUCAUCAGUCGUAUAUGUUUAAUAGUAAAAUGUCUAGUAUAUUCUCACGGAUCGGUACGCAAACAUCAAUAUCUAUCUUCAAGAGGCUAUAAGAUAUCUUUAUGAAAAAUUUCUCUAAUUUAAUUUCUUAUCAUACAGGUUAUUCAUGUCCAAUGUUCUAAAAUUUUAUUCUAUUCUUUCUGCGUAGAUGGUAAGGACUAAGUCCAGUAGGCUAGAGAUGCUAAGCCUACACCAUAGACAGGAAUCCCAUUUCGAGGAUGAAGCAGGGUCAUGUUUGACCCAGAGAUAGAGGGAGGGCACGAGGAGCUAUCCCAGCUAGAGGAUGUGCUAGGGAGGCCUGUCUUGAGUUUAAUAUUGUGUUUUCUAGGGAUGAUUAUCAAACAGCGAAUACGUGUCCAACCCAGGUUCAACAGGAUUCAAUUAAUACUCUAGUGCUUUGAGGUCUUUUGGUUCGUCUCUUGAGUCAUUUAAAGGGUGUUACCUUGAGUGUACUUGGUUUUCCUUAGCAUUCGAGUGAUGUUCCACCCUCAGUAAUGGCAUAUACUUAUGGUACUCCUACUUCUAGGGUACAACCAUCAUCUAUGGUACCCCUACAUGUGGACUCUUUGCCUACCAUACUUACUAUCCCUCUGGUUACUUUGGGUACAACUAUCUCUUAUAAUGAUUAGAACAAAUUUGAGAGGUUUAUUUUCUUGAGAACGCCCAUGUAACGCCCCAAAUCUGGUACUCAAAAUGUUACACUGUGCUCAUGACCCCAAAGGACCACAAGUUAACCCAUGACUGAUAUUUGUAACUGAGCAUUGAAUAAUAUACUGUAAAUAUGUGAAAUAUAAGCUGUAAGGAAAUAAGGUUCAAAACUAAACUAAUAGUGAAUAUAAAACAAUGUCUGUAAUGGGGUAUAACAAUACCCAAAAUUGAAAUAAACUGUCUAAAAUAUGUUGUAGUCUGAAAGCCUCUAAACUGUCUGAAAACUGUAGAGUUGAUGGAAUAUGUCCCCAACUAACUCCGAACUACUGAAAUAAUAAAGUAAUAAAAUAAUCAUGUUAUCCUCAAAUGAUGAGGACUCACUGUAAGUCUGGCUGCUGAACGUCUGAUCUACUAAGGAUGCUCAGGAGCUCGUACUUCUAAACCUAUGGUCUAAAACACCAUAGCGCAAAUGUGUCAGUAUAUUAAAUGUACAGAUAUGUAAGUGAGGUAGGUUGAAUAUAAUGGUUCAUAUGCAUGAACAAUACUAACUGACUGAAUAACAUGAACGUGAGAAUACAUGCAUGAAUAAAAGAUUGUAAUUGAAUUUGUGAUAACACUGACUCAUGAAUUCUAAUAACAUGGAUUUACUGAUAUAUGAGUGUUAGUACUGGGAUACUGAAUAACUGAGUCUAUAGAGUACUGAGGAACUGAUGUUAUAUUAUUAAUAAAGGAAAUAAUAUUUUUAAUAGUUCUAAUUAUGAAGAAUUGGUCUGAUUGACUGUAGCUGACAGUCCUGAAAUUGAAUACUGAUAAUAUGGGUUUUGUAUAAUUAAUAUACUAUUAACUGAGUUUGUGAUAACAUGAUUACUGAGUCUGAGUACUGAUAACAUUAGAUACUAAUAAUAGAAUAACUGAAAUAACUGAUACUGAGCGACUGUAUCUGAUAGUCUAGGUUCUAAUGGAACUAGCUGAGUUUCAUACUAUUCUGAGUUGACUGUAUCUGAUAGUCCUGAAAUCUAAAAAACUAUCUGAGUUCUAUUACUGAGACUGAAUGACUAUAUCUGACAGUCUUGAUUCUAUAACUGAAACUAUGGGAAGUAGUCAUCUAACUGACAUGCCCCUAAUAAGCAAUUAUAGUUGUGUUGGGGUCCAAUCUGUAACCCUAAUUGGAUGGGUGUCAAUACUGCACCAUUGGUAAAGACAAGUUAUGACUGACCCUCAUCUGACAGUGUUCCCAAAAGAGAACGGUGGGACCCUCAUCUAACAGUGUUUAUCGACCGUAUCAACCCUCAUCUGACAAUGUUGAUGUCUCAACCUAUGCUGGCUACAUAGUUCUGGAACGCAAGGAUUACUUCUAAGAAUCGCACCCUCAUCUGACAGUGUGUGUUCCCAUCCUUGGGUUCACUUGGUGCUAAUUCCUACUCCCAUCAGGAUAGACACUGAACAUGAUUAACUGAACUGGACUAAACUGAAUUCAUAGAGUUCCGUUGAUUGACGGAAUACUACUGAGACAUGAUGACUAUCGGACAUCACUGAGAUUUUUGAGAUUACUAAGAUUACUGAAUGAGACUAAACUGAUACUGAGUUUACUAUAUUUCCUGAGUCACAUGACUGACUGAAUUCUACUGAUCAUGGCUUAACUGAGAGUAUAGUGAAAACAAGACACUGGCUCUAGGUACACAUCUAAAUUGUUGGGUACAAGUACCCUCAGGACUCGAUAGCAUGAAACUGACAGAACAUGACACUUCUUGAACACAUAACAAAUAUCAAUAAUUCAUAAUACAUCAAUUUGGGGAUUUUAUGAAGCACAUGGUUAUCAUAGUCUUGUACAUGAAUGGAAUUGCAUAUAAACAUGUCAUACUUUCAUAAAUCUACUCUCGUGGACAUUUCCUCAACCAUUCAUAAUGCACACAAUAUCAUGAAAGUCAUUCUUGGUCAUAGGGUAAAGCAUGCAUUUUUCACUUGGGUCACAAUUAAGCUAUAUUGUAUAAUUUCUAUUCUCUUAGGCAUUUUAUCAAACACCUAGGAUGCAUGACUUAGGGCAUAGGCAUAACCAUCAAAUUAAUACAAUAAAACUCUGUAUUUCAAAUCAAUCCACGUGUUUCAAACCACAUACUAUCAUUGGUUCAUGAACAACACAUAAAGAUUCCAACUUGGGAAUCAUACAACCAUAAUCACAUGAACAUAAUCAAUCCACAACAAAAUAAUUAUAAUACAAGAUUUAAAACUUGAUUCUUGGGCUUCAUGGAUGAAAGAAAUCCAUGAAUGAACACUAUGCAUACCUUAGUUCUUGAUUCUAUGAAGAUUGACAGAGAGAUUCUUGAAUUUGAGUAUUGAAUUUGAAUCCCCAAUUGAAAAUCCUAGCUUGUUCUUGAGAUAAACUUGAGAGAAACACUACGUUUUGGGUAAAAAAAAAUAGCUCACGUGUUAUUGGGUUUAAAUAGGGGUGGGAAAUUAACCCUUUUAACCCUUGGACGCAUAUUUUAAUUUUUGUGAAAAUUUCUCAAUUUUUAUCCUUGGCGCGACGUACCACUAUCACGCUAAGUCACUGGAAAUGGAAAAUUUCUGAAUUUGAGCACUGGCGCGACGUUCCAUAAUCGUGGAGGCUCACUGGAUUUUAACGAUUGCCAUUUUUUCCUACUCCGUGAUGCGUUGAUGGCUCAGGUGGUACACUACCUUACUAAAAAGGCUCUAACUCUUCGCUCGGGUGUUGAAUUUGGGUAAAUUUGGUAUCGAUUGAAAAUACCACAUGUAUAAAAGUGGAUUCAUCUUUAAAACAAGUCUUUGACAUCUUUGGGACGAAUUUAAGCUAGGUAGAAGUAUGGGGUAUUACAGCCCAAGUUUAGUAGAGUUAUUAGGAAGGAUACCUAUAAGUUUUUCAUUGAUUGCCAAGAGAAGUUACAUAAUCUUGGAUACCUUGAGUCUCAUGGAGUUUCUUAUACCUUCUAUCAGUUGACAAAUAUGGCUAGGGAUUAGAGGAGGUCGCUUGCCAAUUAUAGGCCUUUGUGUUUGCCUGCUAAGACUUGGCUUCAGUUUUCAAGAUCUUCUUGGAGAGAUUUAUAGUUUGAGAGAUUAGAUGCAUCAUGAGUUUGAUUAUUUGGAGAAGGGAUCUAUCUCUACUGCUGAGUAUAAGGCAAGUUUUCAUACCUUAUCCUAAUUCAGCUGCUAAUAUCUUCACCAUGUCUGAGAGGAUUCAAAAGUCUGUGAAGGGGAUAAAUAGUAUAUAUCACAUGGAUAUAACUAAAACGGUAGUUUCAGGGGCCUUAUUUUAGAGUAUUAUUGAUCAUACCAUUAUGACCAAGUCUAUUAUCUAAGCUACUCAAAGAGAUAUAAAAAAGUGUAUCAUCAGGAUGAGUUUAGUGGGCAUGCCUUUUGAGGUAGAGAUUUUUCUAGUAGAGGUUCCCGUAGUUAUCAUGGAAGGAUGGUUCAAGAUGUGUGUCAGGGAUCAAGUGGUAGACCUUUAGGUUUUGCGCCUUCUGCUAGCCAUGUAUCAGGUCAUGCGGGUAGAGGUUCCAAGAUUAGUUCUUUGGGAUAGGACGAUCAUUCUAGUUCAUUAACAUUUUCUCAAAUUGAGUUAGUUCACAAGGGAUGUUUUGUAUGUACUGAGUUUCCAUGUGUCUGAGGAUUGCCCUCGACAUGUGUAUAGACCCAUUUAGUAGGUUCUCAACUUCACCUUUGCCUUACUUUAGUAUCUACUGUGAGAGAUAGUUCACAGAAUGUUAAGAAUGAUGCUAGUGGUGCUAGAGGUAGAGGUAUGAGAUCUUAUGAAAUUAUUGUAGGGUUACUCAGUUUCAAAGAAGAAUGGUCGGUGUUAUACGAUACCUGUAAGACCAGAGGCAAAGGCUUAUAGUUAUUAACAAGUAUCAUCCAAUUUGUAAUAGAUCUGUGUCCAUAUUAUUUGACCCUGGUUCUACAUUCUCCUAUCUGUAUACAUAUUUUUCUUUUAGAUUUGAUGUUGCAUGUGAGCCCUUUACUAUGUCUCUUCAUGUUUCUACUUCCAUAGGAAAUUCUUUAAUGGUGUAUCGAGUGUACUAAUCUUGCAUGGUUACCUUUACGGGCUGUGAGACUUGGUAGACUUAAUUAUCUUAGAUAUGGUUGAUUGUGAUAUUAUUUUUUGUAUGGAUUUGUUAGCUUCUUAUCAUGCUAUUUGGACGGUUAUGCCAAGACUAUGACCUUAGUUACAUCGGAUGCAUUGAGGUUAACUUGGAAUGGUAUUUUUAAUUCGGGUCUAAAGGGUGUUAUAUAUUUUCAACAUGCUCGUCGCAUGGUAUAGAAAGGGUGUUUGUGUUAUUUGGAUCAUGUGUGAUACUAGUGUUUUCUCACCGCCUCCCAUGGAUUUUAUUUGGGUGGUUCACGAGUUCAUGAAUGUGUUUUCUAUGGAUUUGCCUAGUAUGCCUCCAGAUUGUGAUACUGAUUUUUCUAUUAAUGAGGAGCUAGGCACCAAGCCUAUUUCCAUCCCUCCAUAUAGGAUGGCUCCGAUUGAGUUGAAGAAAUUAAAGGAAUAAUUGUAGGAUUUGUUAAGUAUGGGGUUGAACAAAGUGACAGUUAAAAAAAGUACCCUCUUCCUCACAUUGAUGAUCUUUGUGACCAACUUUAGGGUGCUUUUGUGUUUUCCAAGACUAAUUUGUAACGUAGGUAUCACCAGGUGAAUAUUAGAGCUUCGAAUGUUCCAAAGACAUCCUUUUGGACAUGAUACGAUCAUUAUGAGUUUGUUAUCAUGUUAUUUAGGUUGAACAAUACCCUAAAACAUUCAUGGACUUAAUGAAUCAUGUAUUUUAACUGUAUCUCGACUCCUUUAUAACUGUAUUUAUAGAUAACAUCUAGGUUUAUUCCAAGAAUAAGACUGGCCAUGUGAAGCAUUUAUGGAUUGUACAUCAGAGGUUGGGUGAUUAGAAGUAUCCAGGUGUGAGUUUUAGUUGGGUUCAAUCUCUUUCUUAGUUUAUGUGGUGAACAAGGAUGGUAUUAUGAUUGAUCAGACCAAGAUAACAAUAAUUCAUUAUUGGGCCAGACCUAGUUCUUCUAUCAAGAUAUAGAGUUUUAUUGGUUUGACGGGUUAUUAUCGAUGCUUUGUAGAGGUUUUCUCUUUUGUUAUGGCUCCUUUGACUAAGUUAACUCAGAAAAUAUGGUAUUUCAGAUGUUGGAUGAGUGUGAUAAGAGCUUCCAAAAGUGUAGAGUUGUUGUCUUCGAAUCCUAUUUAACCUUGCCUAAGGAGGGUGUGGGUUUUAUCAUGUUUUGUGAUUCUUCUAAUGUUGGGUCUAGAGCGAUGUUGAUGCAAAAGGGUAAGGUGAUUGCUUAUGCUUCUCAUUAGUUGAAGACCCAUGAGAGAAAUUACUCUACCCAUGAUUUGGAGUUAGCAGUCGUAGUUUUCUAUUAAAGUUGUGGCGUCAUUACUUGUAUAUUAUUCCCAGUGAGAUUUUCUCAGACCAUUAUAACCUUCAGUACUUCUUUAAUUAGUAAGAUCUUAAUAUGAGGUAGCAGCAUUCACUUGAGUUGUUUAAGGAUUAUGUCCUCACUAUUAUUUAUCAUUAGGGCAAGGAUAGUAUAGUUGUGAAUUCCUUGAGUCAAAAAUUGACUAGUAUGGGGAUUUUAGCUUAUCUUUUGAUCAAGGAGUGACCUUAGACUUAGAGGUGCAGUUUAUAGAUAGUCAGAUGGUUAGGCUUGAUAUUUUGACACUCGAGCGUGCUUUAUCCUUUGUUGAUUAGAUAUUUUUUAUGGAGCAGAUUCAAGAUCACCAGUAUAAUAAUGAUAGUUUGAGUGAUUUGAGAUAAGGUGUUGAGCAGUGAGGCUAAGGAAAUAACUCUUGAUUUUGAUGGUAUUUUAAGGAUUAGAGAUUGAGUUUGUUGUGCCGAUAGUUUAAGGAUUUCAGAUAUUCUAUCCAUCCAGGGGUUACUAAGAUAUAUCAUGAUAUGAAGCAACUUUAUUAGUAGGUUGGUAUAAAGAAAGAUAUGGUCAACUUUAUAGCUUGUUGCUUGUAUUGCAGUAGGUGAAACUCGAGUAUUAGAGAUCAGGAAAUUUACUUCAAAUAUCACUCAUUCAUGAAUAAAAUUUGGAGCGGAUCACAAUAUAUUUUUUUAGAGAGUUGCCUCAUACUUCUUGUGAGUCUGACAGCAUCAGAGUCAUUAUGGAUUGGUUGACCAAAUAAUCGCCUUCAUACCUAUUUAGAUUUCCUUCGGUGCUAAGAUAUUGGCUCAUAUCUAUGUUCGAGAGAUAGAUCAUCUUUAUAAAGUACCUGUGUCUAUUAUUUUAUGCAGAGACACAAUGUUUACUUCUAGCUUCUGGUAGACAUUUCAAAAGGAUUUGGGUACUUAAGUUGACUUUACCACAACUUUUCACCCUCAGACUGAUGGUCAGCCAGAACAAACUAUUCAGGUUUUGGAAAAUAUAUUUUGCACAUGUGUUAUGGACUUUGGAGGUCAAUGGACCAAUAAUUAGCUUUGGUGGAGUUCUCUUAUAAUAAUAGCUACCAUUUGAGUACUGAGAGGGCCCUUUUUGAGGCGUUAUCAAUCACUUAUUAGUUGGAUUGAGACUUCAAAUGUCAGACCCCUUGUUACUGACUUGCUUUGAGAGUUUUUGGACAAGAUUUGGGUAAUUCAGGAUAGGCUUUGGGAAUCUUAGAGUAGGCAAAAGAGUUAUGUAGACCAUAGGCUUUGUGCCUUGAUGUUUGGGAUUGGUGAUCAAGUCCUCCUUCGUGUGUCUUUCAUAAAGGGCGUGAUGAGGUUUUGAAACAGGGGCUUGCUUAGUCUGAGGUAUAUUGGACUAUUUGAGAUUAUUUGGACAUUUGGAGAGGUUGCUUAUGAGUUGGCCUUACCUUCAGGAUUUUUAGGCCGUCAUCUAGUUUCUUAUGUGUCUAUUCUUCGAUGUUAUAUUUUGGGUUAGUCCUAUGUGCUUUGUUGGAAUUUAGUUCAGUUGGCUAAGAAGUUGACCUUUGUAAAGGAGCCAAUGUCUCUUUUAGUCAUAGAGGUUUGACGAUUGCAUUCUAGAGAUAUUUCUUUUGUUAAGGAUUAGUGGAAACACCAUACUAUUGAGGAGGCUACUUAGGAGGUCGAAACGAUAUGUGUGUUGUUACCCUUAGCUCCUUACCGAUUCAGGUGUUUUUUUGCCUUUUACUUCGAGGAUGAGGUCGUGUCUUAGUGGUGGAUAUUGCAAUGACCUGAUUCAUCUCCUUCAUGCGUGUUGUUACCCUCAAUUCCUUACUAAUUCAGGUGUUUCCUUGCCUUUUAGUUCGAGGACGAACUGGAGUCUUAGUGGUGGAUAUUGCAAUGACCUGAUUUGUGAAAUCUUUUUUAAGUGUGCUGACCAUUCUUCCCUUCCCCGUAGUUACUACAUGUUGAUUCUGGGAAUUAGGGAUGGUAGUUAUAAUUCUCAAUGUAAUCGGGAAUGAUUUUGAUAAGUUUGAGAUUUUUAGAGGCUUAAAAAGUUAUAUAGCUGAUUUCGAUUAAUAUUUAUUAUUCUGAGUGUCGGAUGAUGAUUUGGACCAUUUUAUUAGGUUCAAAAUAUCGAAUUUGGAUUAAUAGCGUGAUUGGUUCGAGUUUGAAACCUUUAUUUGCAUUUCGACCCUUCGCUUGAAAAAUAGUAAAAAAAGGUUCAUGGGAGUUGAUUUAUUGAAAACAAUAUCUUUUUGAAAAAAAUUCAACAUCGCCAUUGAGUCUAUAGAACAUCGAAAAUAGUCUGGGAGCAUAUAUGAUUUAUUUCUGUCGGAUCCUGAAUGAAUCCUGAAGGUUCGUUCUGACAAUUUGGAAUCAUGCAAAAUCAGUUGGUGUACAGUUGAUAUCUGGUGCAGUAAACCUUCAUCAAGAAUGCGGGCCCUUACUUGUGAACAUGGAGAGGGAGUCAAUCCUUUAUCACGAACACAAGGUGGGUGGUUGUAUUUGCGAAAGGUUAGCUAAUUCAGGUCGGGUAUUUUCCCUUCUUCGUGAACGCGACGAGGCUGUCAAAAAUGUGAAGGCCUGAUUCAUAAUCCUUUGCAAACGCGAAGUCUUAACUGGAAAUGCUAAGGUCCAAAUUUUGGUCGAUCAAAGUUGACGCUUGCGAACACAAAGGGUUGAUCGUGUUCAUGAGGCACUGUUCGCAGAACAUUAUAUAAGUCUCAUUUUUUUAUUUUACUCUAUUUUUGGACCUUCAAGCUUUGAAAAAGACAUUUUUUGAGGGUUUUCACUGUGUUUUAUGUUGGUAACCUCCUAAAUCAUAUUUUCGUUAUUUCUUAUUAAUUACAUCUUUGAAAACACCUUUUAAUCAUUAUUUUGAAAUGAUAAUUUGAGAUUUUAACCAGUAAAGCUUAAAAAUAAUUUUCUUUGAUUUGGACCUCGUUUUCAACCCGUUUUCUCGUGGAUUUUCAACUGUUGACUUCUAUAGCCUUGGAAAAUGUAUUUUUAAAAUAAAAUUUUAAUUUUAUUCCUUUUAUUUCUCAACUCAUUUUUUAACCCAUUUUGGAUCUGACUCAAAUAUGGGCAAUAUGGGUACCUUUAGCUUUUUUGUAAUCUGUAGAUGCUAUAUUUGAAUGUUGUAGUUGAUUCUAAGGCCAUCCGUAAGGUAAAACUCCAUGUUGAAGCAGUUUAGGCUUGAAUUUCAUCGUUUUGAGGAAUGUUAUGGCGUAACUUCUUUCAGAUUGAGUUGGGUAUGUAGACACGUAAUUUUUUAUCCUCCCCUAACUUUUACAUAUUUUUUGCAUCCAAAAUUUACUUUUUGUCCAAUGUUUAUUUCAAUUUUUAUUUUUCAUUUUUAGUAGGCUUCAUUUUAAAAAUUGUGAAAAAAUAAUUCAAAAAUAAGUUACAUUUUAGGAUAUAUUUUAUUUUAUUUUUAUUUUUAUUUUCAUUUUUAUAAUAAGAGAAAUCUCAAAAAUAUAUUUUUUUAAUUUAGAUUUUUAAGCUGGUAAUGUUAUUAUUCUCUUAAUUAUGUUUAUUUUAGUCUAGUUAUAUUCUUAUAUUUUCUUAGUAUAAAAAUUAAUUAGUCAUUAUUUUUAUUAUUAUUAUUAUUUUCUUCUUUUUUAUUUAUUUAUCAAAAAACAAAUUUGUUUUUUUAAAAAAAAGAUCUUAUCCUUAAAUCUACCCAAACCACCCCAUUAAACCUAACUUCCUCCCACAAUUCCACUUUCACUCAACCUACUCAACUCCCUCCCCAAAGAACACACGUAACAUGCACUCCCUCGCAAUAUAUAACACACAGACACAAUAAAAAAAGAAGGAAUAGAAAACUUAAAGAUAAGAAAACAACGGACAUAAGGGAGAAACAAGAAAAAAUAGUAGAAAAAAAAAAGAGGGAGAAAAUAAGAAAAAAAAAUGAAAAAGAGAGAAAAACAAAAAAAAAGGAAGGAGGAAAAGAAAAGAGAGUAAAAGGAGAGAAAACUUUCAGUAAAACACAAAUAGCAUGGUUGAAGAUUGUGGUUUGAAGUUUGAGUUUGGGUUCCGUUCGAGCUUUCGGUGAUGGCGUUUUUGUUUCUAUACUUGGUUUAAUUUGUUACAUAUGUUCUUAUUCAAUUUUGUACUAUUAUAUUAUAAGUUUUAUCAUGAAUCGAAGUUUGAGUGAAGUUUUUUAAAUGAUUUCAUACCGACAGAAACUUCAUUUUAUCAUAUUCAUAUAUAUUCGAGAGCAUUUUAAUCUAGUUAAUAAAUAUGUUGUAUGCUUAGAUAUUGUGACGGCUUUGAUAAAAUGUCAUUACUGAUCAAUGUUUAAAAUUUAAUGAUGUGUUUAGUUGAUUCAAAGUAAUUUUUAAAAUCUUAAUUUAAUUAUUUUUAUUCGAUUCUUUAUUCUUGUCAUUUUAUAGUGCAUGCGUGUGAGUGUUCUUUAGUUAAAGAGUCUCGUUUUCAUAGUAUAUAUGUGUGCAUGUUUUGUUAUAGUAGCAUCUCUUUUCUAUUUUUAUAAUGCGUAUAUUUUUAGAACCUGUUAAGUAGUAGUGUAUAAAUAGUAGUAUGGAUUGCAUGAAAAUAAUGUAUAAGUAGUAUUAGUAGGUGUGCAAGGAUUGCAUAGAAUUAGUGAAAAUGAGAAUUUAUUUGUAUGUAUAGUAUUGACUGUGCAGAUGUAGUAUUAUUUGAAAAAUAGUGUGGGAUUGACCUAAUCAUAAUAAUAAUAAUUAAUAAUAAUAAUAAUAACAUAGAAAUGUAACUAUCUACAGAUCUGGCCAUAAAUCAAGGCACAAAAGCAAUUAUUUUAUUAUGCAUAGAAAGAUUUGCAUAGAAUUCCUUCUGGAAAGCAGUUUUUUCUUCUUUGUUAAAAUUUUGAAAAAAACCAUGUUUGAAACAAUUUCCAUCUAGGUUUAUAGAAUUCUUCAGAAAUUCUUUUUCUUGCCAGAGAUCCUGGACUAAAAUCAAUUUGGUUGUGAUUCAUUUUAAACCAGUUGGAAACUCCAUUUCAGACUCAAUUGGAUCCAUAUCAGGGAUUGCAGUAACAAUAUUAUCACUAUCAAUCCUGAUGCCAUUCAGUCUAGGGCUUUCUCUCAUCAUAGAUAGGAUUUUUUUAAAAUCCACGAAAUUUCUCUUCUAGUAACUUUUUGAUAUUAUCUAAGUCACUAGUUAACUUGAAAUCUUUGAUUUCAGGGGGAGGUUGGAUAGUAGGAGUAGCCAGAACUACUGGGUCCUUUUGUCUAAGGUCUAAUUGGUUAGUAUUACUAAGCUCUAUCCUUUUUAAUUCAGAUAGGACCUUAUCAAUUUUUUCAUGCAGAGUAAUAAUUUUCUCUCCUAAGAUGCUCAUAUAAUAAUUACUAUAAUUAUGUUGUUUAAGAAUCAUAUCGACAUUUUGAGCGGUUAUUAGGACAAUAUCAUUCUUAAUCAGCUUAGCAAAAGCUGUUAAAUGAACUACGUUGUUAUCUCUUUCAAUUUGAAAGAACUGCUAGGGAGGUAGUACUGAAGUAGUAAUUUCUCCAGCAGGUAAUUUAAAAUCCCAGCUUUAUUACAGCUUUAAGAGAUGGCAGAAAUAAAAAUUGGAAGAAGUCUCUUAUUGGGACAGUGCAAACAAGCUUGGCUUAUGGCCCUGUUUAUUUUAAUGCUUAUCCUAAUUUGCAGAUAUCUCUCACUGAUGAGAAUUCUUUGGAUGCACUAGUUCUUAGUAUUAAAUUAUAUGGAUAUGAUUACAUGUCUGCUACAGAGGUUAUAUGUAUUUGUUAUAAAAUAUAUUAUAAACCUCUUCAUACUUUUAACCCAAUGUGUAAAAUAAUGGAUUUCAAUAAUAAACCUAUUUUAAUGGAAACCAAUAUAUGUAGGUCCAAAGUUGUUACUAGACGACCUAUAAAAUGGGAUGAAAUUGAUUUUUCAAAAGAAUGAAACUUUGAGGAUGCAGCGCUUCCUCAAACUGAUCUCGAAGAAGAGAUUUCAGAGGUAAAACAAUCCGCUGAUGGUACUAUUUGAAUCAGAUUUUCUGAUUCAUUAGCCCCAUUAAAUAGAGCUGAUGAUUUGCGUGUUGCAACAUAAUCGAGAUUAACAAGAUCAACAUCUUCAUAUAUAUCUCCUGUUGAUUAUAUUGUUAGAUCUCCAUCUAAAGCUUCUACAUCUUAGAUUAGAGAAAGCCCUAGAAUGAAUGGCAUCGGGAUUGAUAGUGAUAAUAUGUUACUGCAAUCCCAGAUAUGGAUCCAACUGAGUCUGAAAUAAAAUGUCCAACUGGUUUAAAAUGAAUCACAACCAAAUUGAUUUUAGUCCAGGAUCUCUGGCAAGAAAAGAAUUUCUGAAGAAUUCUAUAAACCUAGAUGGAAAUUAUUCCAAACAUGGUUUUUUCAAAAUUUUAAAAAAGAAGAAAAAAUUGCUUUCCAGGAGGAAUUCUAUGCAGAUCUUUCUGUGCAUAAUAAAAUAAUUGUUUUUGUGCCCUGGUUUAUGUCCAGAUAUGUAGAUAGUAUAUUUCCAUGUUAGCUAGAGAUUUUAAAUUACCUACUGGAAAAAUUACUACUUCAGUACUACCUCCCUAGCAGUCAUUUCAAAUUGAAAGAGAUAACAAGGUAGUUCAUUUAACAGCUUUUGCUAAGCUGUUUGAGAAUGAUACUUCCCUAAUAACCACUCGAAAUAUCGAUAUGAUGCUUAAACAACAUAAUUAUGCUAAUUAUUAUAUGAGUAUCUUAGGAGAGCAAAUUAUUGCUCUACAUGAAAAAAUUGAUAAGGUCCUAUCUAAAUUAAAAAUGAUAGAGCUUAGUAAUACUAAGCAAUUAGACCUUAGACAAAAGGACCCAGUAGUUCUGGCUACUCCUACUAUCCAAUCUCCCUCUAAAAUCAAAGAUUUCAAAUUAACUAGUGACUUAGAUAAUAUCGAAAAGUUGCUAGAAGAGAAAUUUUAUGGAUUAAAAAUAAAUCCUAUCCACGAUGAAAAUUUUGCUGAAGAAGAUGGUGGACAUGUUAGUCCUGUUGAGAUAAAUGAGAUCUCAGAUAAAUUAUCUAGGAAGCCAACCUAAAAAAUGUUUUACUAUCUUAGACCAACUCCUCAAGAUGUUCUAUUUGAAGAACAAGGAUUGUAUGUCCCCAAUAGUUUCAGAGGAGAUGAAAUCUACGAGUGAAAUGUAGAUGGUUUAUUUGAUAGGCAGAUAUCUACAAUGAUACAUAGAAUGUUAAUGUACAGUACCAUUUGUAAAGCCCAUCCCAACAUAAGUAAUAGGGGUAUAGCUAAAAUGAUUACGAUGGGAUUUACUGGUCAGCUUAAAUGCUGGUGGGAUAGUUAUCUUACCAAAGACCAAAAGACUAGGAUCAUUCAAUCAACAUUAAAGACAUAAGAUGGCCAAGAUGUCAUGAACGAUGUCUAUACUUUGAUUAUUAAUAUCAUUGAGUACUUCUCUGGAAGAUGGAUAGAUAUAGUGAAAAUAUUCAAACUUUGCUCCGAAACUUUAGAUGUAAGACUCUGACAUCAUUUAGGUGGUAUAAAGAUGUUUUACUCUCAAGAGUCAUGGAAUUACCUGAGAGUAAUAGCCCUCAUUAGAAAUCCAAGUUUAUAGAUGGUCUUCCCAUGUUAUUUGCGGAAAGAAUUAGGAAAACCCUUAGAGGUCCUAAUGUGAGUAUUAAUUAUGAGGCCUAUACCUAUGGUAACCUUAUAAAAGUUUGUACUCAAUAAGGUUUAGCCUUAUGUAAUGAAAUUAAGUUAAACCAGCAGGUUAAGAAAUAUCGUCUUAAUGAGAGACAACAGCUAGGAGAAUUAUGUAAGCAAUUUGCCAUAGAUAUCCCCAAAUUCUCGAGGGAAUCUCAUAAACAUAAGAAGAGAAAGUACUAUGAUGAAAGAAAGUCAAAGAAAAUUGAGAGCAAAGGUAAGAAAAAAGAGGAUUACAAAUCCAAGAAGGCUUAUAGAAGAGCCAAAAAGACCAACACUUGUUACCGAUGUGGUAGAGUUGGUCAUUUUGCAAAAGAUUGCAAAGUAAAGAGUACGAUCAAGGGUAUUACUAUAGAUGGUGAGAUUAAAGACUCUUUGUGUAAGAUUUUGCUAAAUUCCUCCCCGAAAAAUUCUAGUCCGAACCAUAGUGAUAAUAGGGAGCAAAAUGAUUCAACCGAUGAGGACCUGAGAGUUCUUGAACAAGAAGAUUGUAUGCCUUCAGAUGAUGAGUGUCUAUCCUACCAAGAAGGGCAACCUUAUGAAAACAAAGAGGCGGAGGAUGUUUUGUAUAACAUUAUAUCCCAAUUUCAAGAUAUAGAAAUUAAUGUCUUGAAAGAUGACAAAUUAGCAGUUCUACUAAUACUAAAAGAGCUAGUAAAGAAGAAAGAUAAGCCAUCCACCAGUUCUUCCCCUGAUCAGGAGGAACUGCAUAUUAUUCCCUCCCAAAAAGGUCUUUAUACCAUGAAUGAAGUUAAUAGACUUCUAAAAGAGAGGCAAAAGGUUGAAGCUAUUCCAGCAACAACCCAAGACCUAAAAAAUAAAAUUGAUAAUCUCAAAAAGGAAAUAUCCUUCGUUAAGAGUCAUAAUUUGGCAUUAUACCAAAGGGUUUCUUCCUUAGAAAAUCCAAAAUUAAUACCCACUGAAGGUAGUCAAACUCUCCCUGAAGGAGAUUUUCUUCAAAACUUAGAAGUUGUCCAUCAACACUUCCAUGCUAAGGUAACUCUUCUAAUUAAUUACAAUUAUAAGAAGGAAUAUAUAGCUCUCAUUGAAAGUAGGGCAGACUGUAAUUAUAUCCAAGAAGGUGUGAUACCUUCAAGAUAUUUCAUAAAAACCACUAAUACAUUAACGAAUGCAAGUGGUCAGAAAAUAGGGUAGAAUAUAAAAUCCCUAAAGAUUACAUUUGUAAAGACAAGAUUUGUAUGCCUGAAACUUUUGUUUUGGUUAAAGAUAUUGCUGAUGAAAUUAUCUUAGGGAAACCAUGGUUUCUACAUUUGUAUCCUUUAGUCCGUUGGGAUGAAAAAAGUAUCAUGGUACUUUUGAUAAUAAACAUAUUCAUUUUGAAUGGUGUGAUCCACCUUAUCCCAGAUAUUUGAAUCUGAUUAAAGAAAAAAUUCUUUCAAAAAAUAAGCAAAUGGAAUUUUUGAAGAAUGAAAUUUGCAGUUUGACUAUCAAUCAAACCCUUCAAAAUCCAAAAUUAAUUGAAAAAAUUGAGUUUCUGAGGAACUAGUUGUCAAUUCAAAUUUGUGAACUAGUUCCUAAUAAGAACUGAUUGCUAAGCUGCAAAAUUUAUCUUUAAUGAAAUUUUAAACAUGAUUAUUCUAAGCAAAUGUUUGCAAGAUGGUAGGCUUUGUUAGCCCCAUUUAAUUUUGAAAUUCAAUAUUUAAAAGGGUCAGAUAAUAAAUUGUCUACCCAAUUUUUUAACCCGUGAAUUUUUAAGCUGAUAUUUUCUCUUAUGGAUUUCAGGAUGGCAUCACGAGGAACUACUUAC